UUCCAGAAGCUGCUGAUAGUUCAAUGGAGAUAGCUAUGGAAGCUAUUGAAGCUGGUAGAUGUGGAUUUGAACCUUGUGAAGAGCUUUCUUGGUUCGUUUUCUUCUCAAGAGGGACUACCAUGAUGAAAGAUGUCUGGAGUGCUGAUGGUUUGAGAUGAAAUCAGAUGAUGAACAACCUGUGAUGAAGAACAAACAUCAAUGAAAUCGAAAACACACAGGGUUGAACACGGAUUUGAAGAAACCCUAACUGAAGGUUUUGUCCGGUCAUCUGUUGUGGUUUCUUUCGGCUUUCUUCCACAUCAACGAUUAGCAAACACAAAGGUUUAAUGGUGGCAUGUUUGUGCUGGUUCAACAAAGCCAGAAAGCGGAGGCGACGGCUAGGGUUUCGAUUAGUGAUCUCGGUCUGAUGUUCUUCACGAUAGAGAUGCACUCGAGAUGGUAAAGAUGGAAUUCCAGCAUUGCUUGGGGUUACAGGUGGAUCCGCGUUUGAGUUUAGUUCUGGCUGGAAUCCGAGUCGAUCGUUUCACAACUACAAUGGCGUCUUCUAGGGUUUCAUCAAAAGUCCAAAUCAAGAAAAUCCGUUGGGUCCAUCACUAAAGAUAUUUUCAGAUCUGAAGUAUGAUAGGCCAAACGAAUUGACGGAUCGGCAACUUUCUAAUGAGAUGGAAGCGAUUGCGGCUGCUUAUCAUAUUUUUAGAAAUGCUGCUCAGCCUGGUUUCACGUACAUUGAAGAUAUGGAUUUAAGGAGAUUUAUGAAAAUUAG
rnacentral:lncRNA from 1 species